UUGUUCGCAUCUACUGUGAGAGCCUGCUCUUAGAACUCCUGCAAACGGAAAAGUAAAGAAGGGGGAACGGGUAAGUAACACGUGAGUAAUCUGCCCUUCACUUCGGGAUAACCGCCGGAAACGGUGGCUAAUACCGAAUACGACGCACUCUCGCAUGGGAUGUGCGUGGAAAGUUUUCUCGGUGGAGGAUGUGCUCGCGGCCUAUCAGCUUGUUGGUGAGGUAACGGCUCACCAAGGCUUCGACGGGUAGCCGGCCUGAGAGGGUGACCGGCCACACUGGGACUGAGACACGGCCCAGACUCCUACGGGAGGCAGCAGUGGGGAAUAUUGGACAAUGGGCGAAAGCCUGAUCCAGCAACGCCGCGUGAGGGAUGACGGCCUUCGGGUUGUAAACCUCUUUCAGUACCGACGAAGCGCCAAUAACGGUGGUGACGGUAGGUACAGAAGAAGGACCGGCCAACUACGUGCCAGCAGCCGCGGUAAUACGUAGGGUCCGAGCGUUGUCCGGAAUUAUUGGGCGUAAAGGGCUCGUAGGCGGUUUGUUGCGUCGGGAGUGAAAACUUACAGCUUAACUGUGAGCGUGCUUCCGAUACGGGCAGACUUGAGGUAUUCAGGGGAGAACGGAAUUCCUGGUGUA
rnacentral:rRNA from 1 species